GAGGGUAUAGCUCAGUGGUAGGGUGCAUGCUUAGCAUGCACAGGAUCCUGGGUUCAAUCCCUGGUACCUCCA
rnacentral:tRNA from 1 species